rnacentral:piRNA from 1 species
UAACAAAUUCUGACAAUUCUUGGAGGUCUC